rnacentral:rRNA from 1 species
UGGGGAAUAUUGGACAAUGGGCGCAAGCCUGAUCCAGCGACGCCGCGUGUGUGAAGAAGGCCUGCGGGUUGUAAAGCACUUUCGAUGGGAACGAAAUGUGCCGGGUUAAUACCCCGGUAAGCUGACGUUACUCAAUGAAGAAGCACCGGCUAACUCUGUGCCAGCAGCCGCGGUAAUACAGAGGGUGCGAGCGUUAAUCGGAAUUACUGGGCGUAAAGCGCACGUAGGUGGCGACGUAAGUCGGGUGUGAAAGCCCCGGGCUCAACCUGGGAAUUGCAUUCGAGACUGCAUUGCUGGAGUACGGAAGAGGAGGGCGGAAUUCCCGGUGUAGCGGUGAAAUGCGUAGAUAUCGGGAGAACAUCAGUGGCGAAGGCGGCCCUCUGGUCCAGUACUGACACUCAAGUGCGAAAGCGUGGGGAGCAAACAGGAUUAGAUACCCGCGUAGUCCCUGAGCGGGCUGGCAAGGCGCAU